rnacentral:tmRNA from 1 species
GGGGGUGUCAUGGUUUCGACUGAAAAAGGUAAGAUGGCAUGGCGUGUUGGAGAUGGGUGGCUAGCUCCAUUAACAAUCCAUCCAAUGUCAUGAAAUGGCAAAAACAAAAAGGGAAAACUGGUUAAGGGGUUGUUUGGCCGCAAGGCCCGCAUGGCUGCUUGAUCGGAGAGAUUGCCAGGGAUGGCAAUCCGUCGCGUUGUUUGACGGUCCGCUAGGAUAACGCGGCGUCUGGUAGCGGGCAAGGACGUGGAAGGCGCGCUUUUUCCAUGUUUUGAUUAAGGCGCUCGUUUUGUGAAAAUUUGCCGUUGGAAUUUCAUGAAAUCAGAUGUUAAACAGCGGCUACGCACGUAGAUGUGCCAUCUGUGGGUUUUUAGGACGUGGGUUCGACUCCCACCACCUCCACCA